GACGAACGCUGGCGGCGUGCUUAACACAUGCAAGUCGAACGGAAAGGCCCUGCUUGCAGGGUGCUCGAGUGGCGAACGGGUGAGUAACACGUGGGUGAUCUGCCCCUUACUUUGGGAUAAGCCUGGGAAACUGGGUCUAAUACUGGAUAGGACCAUGCUGUAGGUGGUGUGGUGGAAAGAUUAGUUUCGGUAAGGGAUGAGCUCGCGGCCUAUCAGCUUGUUGGUGGGGUAAUGGCCUACCAAGGCGUCGACGGGUAGCCGGCCUGAGAGGGUGGACGGCCACAUUGGAACUGAGAUACGGCCCAGACUACUACGGGAGGCAGCAGUGGGGAAUAUUGCACAAUGGGCGCAAGCCUGAUGCAGCGACGCCGCGUGGGGGAUGACGGCCUUCGGGUUGUAAACUCCUUUCAGCCAUGACGAAGCCCUUGUGGUGACGGUAGUGGUAGAAGAAGCACCGGCUAACUACGUG
rnacentral:rRNA from 1 species